rnacentral:rRNA from 1 species
CCUACGGGAGGCAGCAGUGGGGAAUAUUGCACAAUGGGCGCAAGCCUGAUGCAGCGACGCCGCGUGAGGGAUGACGGCCUUCGGGUUGUAAACCUCUUUCAGUAGGGAAGAAGCGAAAGUGACGGUACCUGCAGAAGAAGCGCCGGCUAACUACGUGCCAGCAGCCGCGGUAAUACGUAGGGCGCAAGCGUUAUCCGGAAUUAUUGGGCGUAAAGAGCUCGUAGGCGGUUUGUCGCGUCUGCCGUGAAAGUCCGGGGCUCAACUCCGGAUCUGCGGUGGGUACGGGCAGACUAGAGUGAUGUAGGGGAGACUGGAAUUCCUGGUGUAGCGGUGAAAUGCGCAGAUAUCAGGAGGAACACCGAUGGCGAAGGCAGGUCUCUGGGCAUUAACUGACGCUGAGGAGCGAAAGCAUGGGGAGCGAACAGGAUUAGAUACCCUGGUAGUCCAUGCCGUAACGUUAGGUCGACUAGUGGUGGGUACGACUUCCUACGUUUCCGUCGCCGUACGCUACGCAUAGUGCCCGCCGUCGGGAGGUACGGCCGCGACGACGUAAACCGUACGAACGGAAGUUAGUACGGCGUGAGACGUCGCCGACGGACGACCGACGAGGGAGGAGG